rnacentral:rRNA from 1 species
AUUGAACGCUGGCGGCAGGCCUAACACAUGCAAGUCGAACGAGUGGCGGACGGGUGAGUAAUGUCUGGGAAACUGCCCGAUGGAGGGGGAUCACUACUGGACACGGUCGCUAAUAACGCAUACCAUCGGAUGUGCCCAGAUGGGAUUAGGGAGUCGGUGGGGUAACGGCUAACCAAGGCGACGAUCCCUAGCUGGUCUGAGAGGAUGACCAGCCAAACUGGAACUGAGACACGGUCCAGACUCCUACGGGAGGCAGCAGUGGGGAAUAUUGCGCAAUGGGCGCAAGCCUGACGCAGCCAUGCCGCGGGUAUGAAGAAGGUUUUCGGGUUGUAAAGUACUUUUAGCGAGGAGGCGGUACUCGCAGAAGAAGCACCGGCUAACUCCGUGCCAGCAGCCGCGGUAAUAC